AAUGAACGCUGGCGGCAUGCCUAACACAUGCAAGUCGAACGGAAUAGAGCUUGCUCUAUUUAGUGGCAGACGGGUGAGUAAUGCGUAGGAAUCUGCCUUUAGGUGGAGAAUAAUUGUGGGAAACUGCAGGUAAAACUCCAUAAUAUAGCUUAGCUAUCAAAAAUUUAUUGCCUAGAGAGGAGCCUACGUCAGAUUAGAUUGUUGGUGGGGUAAUGGCCUACCAAGUCUGUGAUCUGUAGCUGGUCUGAGAGGAUGAUCAGCCACACUGGGACUGAGACACGGCCCAGACUCCUACGGGAGGCAGCAGUGGGGAAUAUUGGACAAUGGGGGAAACCCUGAUCCAGCAAUGCCGCGUGAGUGAAGAAGGCCCUUGGGUUGUAAAGCUCUUUCACCUGUGAUGAUAAUGACAGUAGCAGGACAAGAAGCCCCGGCUAACUCCG
rnacentral:rRNA from 1 species